rnacentral:rRNA from 1 species
UACGUAGGGGGCAAGCGUUGUCCGGAUUUAUUGGGCGUAAAGAGCGUGUAGGCGGUUUGGUAGGUCCGCUGUGAAAACUCGAGCUCAACCUCGAGACGCCGGUGGAAACCAUCAGACUAGAGUCCGGAAGAGGAGAGUGGAAUUCCUGGUGUAGCGGUGAAAUGCGCAGAUAUCAGGAAGAACACCCGUGGCUAAGGCGGCUCUCUAGUACGGUACUGACGCUGAGACGCGAAAAGCGUGGGGGGAGCAAAACAGGG